rnacentral:rRNA from 1 species
AGUGAACGCUGGCGGUAGGCCUAACACAUGCAAGUCGAACGGCAGCACAGUAAGAGCUUGCUCUUACGGGUGGCGAGUGGCGGACGGGUGAGGAAUACAUCGGAAUCUACUUUUUCGUGGGGGAUAACGUAGGGAAACUUACGCUAAUACCGCAUACGACCUACGGGUGAAAGCAGGGGAUCUUCGGACCUUGCGCGAUUGAAUGAGCCGAUGUCGGAUUAGCUAGUUGGCGGGGUAAAGGCCCACCAAGGCGACGAUCCGUAGCUGGUCUGAGAGGAUGAUCAGCCACACUGGAACUGAGACACGGUCCAGACUCCUACGGGAGGCAGCAGUGGGGAAUAUUGGACAAUGGACGCAAGCCUGAUCCAGCCAUACCGCGUGGGUGAAGAAGGCCUUCGGGUUGUAAAGCCCUUUUGUUGGGAAAGAAAAGCAGCAGGUUAAUACCCCGCUGUUCUGACGGUACCCAAAGAAUAAGCACCGGCUAACUUCG